rnacentral:rRNA from 1 species
GAUGAACGCUGGCGGCGUGCCUAAUACAUGCAAGUCGAGCGAACAGACGAGGAGCUUGCUCCUCUGACGUUAGCGGCGGACGGGUGAGUAACACGUGGAUAACCUACCUAUAAGACUGGGAUAACUUCGGGAAACCGGCGCUAAUACCGGAUAAUAUAUUGAACCGCAUGGUUCAAUAGUGAAAGACGGUUUUGCUGUCACUUAUAGAUGGAUCUGCGCCGCAUUAGCUAGUUGGUAAGGUAACGGCUUACCAAGGCAACGAUGCGUAGCCGACCUGAGAGGGUGAUCGGCCACACUGGAACUGAGACACGGUCCAGACUCCUACGGGAGGCAGCAGUAGGGAAUCUUCCGCAAUGGGCGAAAGCCUGACGGAGCAACGCCGCGUGAGUGAUGAAGGUCUUCGGAUCGUAAAACUCUGUUAUUAGGGAAGAACAAAUGUGUAAGUAACUAUGCACGUCUUGACGGUACCUAAUCAGAAAGCCACGGCUAACUACGUG